GAUGAACGCUGGCGGCGUGCUUAACACAUGCAAGUCGAGCGAAAAUAAUUGAGAGCUUGCUUUUGAUUAUUUUAGCGGCGGACGGGUGAGUAACGUGUGGGUAACCUGCCUUUUACUGUGGAAUAAUCGUUGGAAACGACGACUAAUACCGCAUACGAUUUUCUGAAGGCAUCUUUGGGAAAAGAAAGGAAAUAUUCGGUAAAAGAUGGGCCCGCAUCUGAUUAGCUAGUUGGUGAGAUAAUAGCCCACCAAGGCAACGAUCAGUAGCCGACCUGAGAGGGUGACCGGCCACAUUGGGACUGAGACACGGCCCAA
rnacentral:rRNA from 1 species